rnacentral:misc_RNA from 1 species
AACAUUAACAUCCCUCCUCAUACCUGAAAGAUGACAAAUCAAGUAAAUCCCGGAAGAUAUUAGAUAUCCACACUGCUUAAUCUUUGAUGGAACUAAAUGCUUCAUCAAUUGAACGUCCUGGUUCAUGUGUCCAAACAAACAACUGUGACAUGCGGGGAAAAUAACAUACUCCUAUAACUAUUAAAGCAUUCCUUCCCCUUUCCCUUUACUAGCAUCAUUUGACUUUAGAGCUCAAUAUGUGCUCUAGCAUAGAUCACCAAUUUGAUAAGUUGAAUAUUAGACAGUGAAGGAACAACAAGUGAGUAAGACUGCUGAUAAGAAUUCAGAUGGUUCCACAAAGUUUUUCUAAACAUGUAUGAAUUUUUAGGAAAAGCUCAUCCUAGCAGAUCACAAACCCAAGGCCCUGCAAAGUUUCAGAAAACGUUUUUUUUGUUUUCUUUUUCCAUUUUUCUUCUCCUUUUCCUAAUUUUCCAAUUGGAAAACUGGAAAAUAAGAAAACAUGUUCACUUAUUCACUUUUUAAAUUCUCCAUUUUCUAUCUUUCCAUUAUAAGAUUAUUUUAGACAUUUUUUAACUAAAUUAGUUUUAUCGUUGUUGAAUAUAAUAAUCAUAUAACAAGUGGAAAAUCCCAUGUUUUCCACCUUAGCAGACGCCCCCUAAUUUUUAAGGGAAUAAUGGAAAACUAUCUAAACUU